UGCAGGACAAGUACUUUAUUGAAGCAAGACUUUGAAAUCUUCCCAUUCUCUGGGGGUGAUCAGGCCAUGCUUGAAUGACAGAGGCUCUCGUGUGUAAGAUUUUUAAAGUCUAGUUGUUAUAUAUGGACUCUAUGUCACUCAGAGCAUUUG